rnacentral:rRNA from 1 species
CCCUUAGAUGUUCUGGGCCGCACGCGCGCUACACUGAUGCAUUCAACGAGUCUAAAACCUGCUCUGAUAGGGGUGGGUAAUCUUUUGAAUGUGCAUCGUGAUUGGGAUAGAUGAUUGCAAUUUUUCAUCUUCAACGAGGAAUGCCUAGUAAACGCAAGUCAUCAGCUUGCAUUGAUUACGUCCCUGCCCUUUGUACACACCGCCCGUCGCUCCUACCGAUUGAAUGAUCCGAUGAAUAUCAUGGAUUGAGGAUGCAAGCAGGUUCGCCUGUCUUCAUCUUCGAGAAGUGAAGUAAAUCUAAUCAUUUAGAGGAAGGAGAAGUCGUAACA